rnacentral:rRNA from 1 species
UGAAGUUUUCGGAUGGAUUCUUAUUUACCGAGUGGCGGACGGGUGAGUAACGCGUGGGUAACCUGCCUCAUACAGGGGGAUAACGGUUAGAAAUGACUGCUAAUACCGCAUAAGCGCACAGUACCGCAUGGUACGGUGUGAAAAACUCCGGUGGUAUGAGAUGGACCCGCGUCUGAUUAGCUAGUUGGUGGGGUAACGGCCCACCAAGGCGACGAUCAGUAGCCGACCUGAGAGGGUGACCGGCCACAUUGGGACUGAGACACGGCCCAGACUCCUACGGGAGGCAGCAGUGGGGGAUAUUGCACAAUGGAGGAAACUCUGAUGCAGCGACGCCGCGUGAGUGAAGAAGUAUUUCGGUAUGUAAAGCUCUAUCAGCAGGGAAGAAAAUGACGGUACCUGACUAAGAAGCCCCGGCUAACUACGUGCCAGCAGCCGCGGUAAUACGUAGGGGGCAAGCGUUAUCCGGAUUUACUGGGUGUAAAGCGUGCGCAGGCGGUUGGGUAAGACAGAUGUGAAAUCCCCGGGCUUAACCUGGGAACUGCAUUUGUGACUGUCCGACUGGAGUACGUCAGAGGGGGGUGGAAUUCCGCGUGUAGCAGUGAAAUGCAUAGAUAU